rnacentral:rRNA from 1 species
UCGACGAUGAAUCUUCUAGCUUGCUAGAAGUGGAUUAGUGGCGCACGGGUGAGUAAUGCAUAGGUUAUGUGCCCUUUAGUCUGGGAUAGCCACUGGAAACGGUGAUUAAUACUGGAUACUCCCUACGGGGGAAAGUUUUUCGCUAAAGGAUCAGCCUAUGUCCUAUCAGCUUGUUGGUGAGGUAAUGGCUCACCAAGGCUAUGACGGGUAUCCGGCCUGAGAGGGUGAUCGGACACACUGGAACUGAGACACGGUCCAGACUCCUACGGGAGGCAGCAGUAGGGAAUAUUGCUCAAUGGGGGAAACCCUGAAGCAGCAACGCCGCGUGGAGGAUGAAGGUUUUAGGCUUGUAAACUCCUUUUGUUAGAGAAGAUUAUGACGGUAUCUAACGAAUAAGCACCGGCUAACUCCGUGCCAGCAGCCGCGGUAAUACGGAGGGUGCAAGCGUUACUCGGAAUCACUGGGCGUAAAGAGUGCGUAGGCGGGGUAAUAAGUCAGAUGUGAAAUCCUGUAGCUUAACUACAGAACUGCAUCUGAAACUGUUACUCUGGAGUGUGGGAGAGGUAGGUGGAAUUCUUGGUGUAGGGGUAAAAUCCGUAGAGAUCAAGAGGAAUACUCAUUGCGAAGGCGACCUGCUGGAACAUUACUGACGCUGAUGCACGAAAGCGUGGGGAGCAAACAGGAUUAGAUACCCUGGUAGUCCACGCCCUAAACGAUGGAUGCUAGUUGUUGCCUUGCUUGUCAGGGCAGUAAUGCAGCUAACGCAUUAAGCAUCCCGCCUGGGGAGUACGGUCGCAAGAUUAAAACUCAAAGGAAUAGACGGGGACCCGCACAAGCGGUGGAGCAUGUGGUUUAAUU